rnacentral:rRNA from 1 species
UACAGAGGGGGCAAGCGUUAUUCGGAAUUAUUGGGCGUAAAGGGCGCGUAGGCGGCUUGGCAAGUGGAUGGUGAAAUCCCUCGGCUUAACCGAGGAACUGCCAUCCAGACUGCUUUGCUUGAGGCCGGGAGAGGUGAGUGGAAUUCCCAGUGUAGCGGUGAAAUGCGUAGAUAUUGGGAGGAACACCAGUGGCGAAGGCGAGUCCCUGGACAACUCCUGACACUGAGGCACGAAAGCUAGGGGAGCAAACAGG